CGAAGGGGGCUAGCGUUGCUCGGAAUCACUGGGGGUAAAGCGCACGUAGGCGGCUUCUUAAGUCAGGGGUGAAAUCCUGGAGCUCAACUCCAGAACUGCCUUUGAUACUGAGAAGCUUGAGUCCGGGAGAGGUGAGUGGAACUGCGAGUGUAGAGGUGAAAUUCGUAGAUAUUCGCAAGAACACCAGUGGCGAAGGCGGCUCACUGGCCCGAUACUGACGCUGAGGCACGAAAGCGUGGGGAGCAAACAGG
rnacentral:rRNA from 1 species